rnacentral:rRNA from 1 species
ACUACCCUGCAUUCAGUUGCCAUCGGGUAAUGCCGGGCACUCUGGAAGGACUGCCAUCGACAAGAUGGAGGAAGGUGGGGAUGACGUCAAGUCAUCAUGGCCCUUAUGUCCAGGGCGACACACGUGCUACAAUGGCCGGCACAACGGGAAGCGAGUUCGCGAGGACGAGCGGAUCCCUUAAAGCCGGUCGCAGUUCGGAUUGAAGUCUGCAACUCGACUUCAUGAAGCUGGAAUCGCUAGUAAUCGUGGAUCAGCCAAGCCGCGGUGAAUACGUUCCCGGGCCUU